rnacentral:rRNA from 1 species
CGUGCAGUCGACGGUGAAGCAGAGCUUGCUCUGUGGAUCAGUGGCGAACGGGUGAGUAACACGUGAGCAAUCUGCCCCUGACUCUGGGAUAAGCGCUGGAAACGGCGUCUAAUACCGGAUACGAGCUGCGACCGCAUGGUCAGUAGCUGGAAAGAAUUUCGGUCAGGGAUGAGCUCGCGGCCUAUCAGCUUGUUGGUGAGGUAAUGGCUCACCAAGGCGUCGACGGGUAGCCGGCCUGAGAGGGUGACCGGCCACACUGGGACUGAGACACGGCCCAGACUCCUACGGGAGGCAGCAGUGGGGAAUAUUGCACAAUGGGCGCAAGCCUGAUGCAGCAACGCCGCGUGAGGGAUGACGGCCUUCGGGUUGUAAACCUCUUUUAGCAGGGAAGAAGCGAAAGUGACGGUACCUGCAGAAAAAGCGCCGGCUAACUACGUGCCAGCAGCCGCGGUAAUACGUAGGGCGCAAGCGUUAUCCGGAAUUAUUGGGCGUAAAGAGCUCGUAGGCGGUCUGUCGCGUCUGCUGUGAAAACCCGAGGCUCAACCUCGGGCCUGCAGUGGGUACGGGCAGACUAGAGUGCGGUAGGGGAGAUUGGAAUUCCUGGUGUAGCGGUGGAAUGCGCAGAUAUCAGGAGGAACACCGAUGGCGAAGGCAGAUCUCUGGGCCGUAACUGACGCUGAGGAGCGAAAGGGUGGGGAGCAAACAGGCUUAGAUACCCUGGUAGUCCACCCCGUAAACGUUGGGAACUAGUUGUGGGGUCCAUUCCACGGAUUCCGUGACGCAGCUAACGCAUUAAGUUCCCCGCCUGGGGAGUACGGCCGCAAGGCUAAAACUCAAAGGAAUUGACGGGGACCCGCACAAGCGGCGGAGCAUGCGGAUUAAUUCGAUGCAACGCGAAGAACCUUACCAAGGCUUGACAUAUAGAGGAAACGUCUGGAAACAGUCGCCCCGCAAGGUCUCUAUACAGGUGGUGCAUGGUUGUCGUCAGCUCGUGUCGUGAGAUGUUGGGUUAAGUCCCGCAACGAGCGCAACCCUCGUUCUAUGUUGCCAGCACGUAAUGGUGGGAACUCAUGGGAUACUGCCGGGGUCAACUCGGAGGAAGGUGGGGAUGACGUCAAAUCAUCAUGCCCCUUAUGUCUUGGGCUUCACGCAUGCUACAAUGGCCGGUACAAAGGGCUGCAAUACCGUGAGGUGGAGCGAAUCCCAAAAAGCCGGUCCCAGUUCGGAUUGAGGUCUGCAACUCGACCUCAUGAAGUCGGAGUCGCUAGUAAUCGCAGAUCAGCAACGCUGCGGUGAAUACGUUCCCGGGUCUUGUACACACCGCCCGUCAACGUCAUGAAAGUCGGUAACACCUGAAGCCGGUGGCCCAACCCUUGUGGAGGAG